rnacentral:rRNA from 1 species
CUACGGGAGGCAGCAGUGGGGAAUAUUGCACAAUGGGGGAAACCCUGAUGCAGCAACGCCGCGUGAGUGAUGAAGGUCUUCGGAUUGUAAAGCUCUGUCUUUUGGGACGAUUAUGACGGUACCAAAGGAGGAAGCCACGGCUAACUACGUGCCAGCAGCCGCGGUAAUACGUAGGUGGCAAGCGUUGUCCGGAUUUACUGGGCGUAAAGGGUGUGUAGGCGGAUGUUUAAGUGAGAUGUGAAAUACCCGGGCUUAACUUGGGUGCUGCAUUUCAAACUGGAUAUCUAGAGUGCAGGAGAGGAGAAUGGAAUUCCUAGUGUAGCGGUGAAAUGCGUAGAGAUUAGGAAGAACACCAGUGGCGAAGGCGAUUCUCUGGACUGUAACUGACGCUGAGGCACGAAAGCGUGGGUAGCAAACAGGAUUAGAUACCCCGGUAGU